GGUAGUAACACGUGAGCAACGUGCCCAAGACUCUGGAAUAACUUCGGGAAACCGGAGCUAAUACUGGAUACGAGACGUAAAGGCAUCUUUAGCGUCUGGAAAGAAUUUCGGUCUUGGAUCGGCUCACGGCCUAUCAGCUUGUUGGUGAGGUAAUGGCUCACCAAGGCGACGACGGGUAGCCGGCCUGAGAGGGUGACCGGCCACACUGGGACUGAGACACGGCCCAG
rnacentral:rRNA from 1 species